rnacentral:rRNA from 1 species
AGUUCGGAUUGAAGGCUGAAAUUCGCCUUCCAUGAAGCCGGAAUUGCUAGUAAUGGCAGGUCAGCAUACUGCCGUGAAUACGUUCCCGGGCCUUGUACACACCGCCCGUCACACCAUGAGAGUUGGGAAUACCCGAAGCCUGUGAGCUAACUUUAAGAGGCAGCAGUCGAAGGUAGAAUCAAUGAUUGGGGUGAAGUCGUAACAAGGUACC